GGGGGUCUUUAAGGGUGGGGGGUCCCCAAUUUGGAGGGGGUCCCCAAUAUGGGGGGGGUCGGUUUAAGGGUAGGGGGUCCCCAAUUCGAUUUGGGGGGGGUACCCAAUAAGGGGGGGGUCCCCAAUACGGGGGGGGUCGGUUUAAGGGUGGGGGGGUCCCCAAUAUGGGGGGGGGUCUUUAAGGGUGGGGGGGUCCCCAAUUUGGGGGGGUCCCAAAAGGGGGGGGGGUUUAUAAGGGUAGGGAGUCCCCAAUUUGGGGGGGGUCCCCGAUUUGGGGGGGGUCCCCGAUUUGGGGGGGGUCGCAGCGCUCCUCACGGUCCCUCGCUGAAUCGGGAGCCCCCCCCGGGCCGGGGCCGAACCGCAGCCUGUGGGGCACACACAGCAUAUGGGGCGGCCGCCCCACAGAGCCCAAUGCGACCCCAUAGGCAACAUUGGGCCCCAUAGAAAACAAUGGGACCCCAUUGACCCCAUAGAAACCAAUGGGAUCCCAUAGACAGCAAUGGGAACCCAUAGAAACCAAUGGGACCCCAUAGGCAGCAAUGGGAACCCAUAGACAGCAAUGGGACCCCAUAGAAACCAAUGGGAUCCCAUAGGCAACAAUGGGAACCCAUAGAAACCAAUGGGACCCCAUAGGCAACAUUGGGCCCCAUAGACAACAACGGGGCCCCAUUGACCCCAUAGAAACCAAUGGGA
ensembl:lncRNA